rnacentral:lncRNA from 1 species
CUGUGACAAAAUAACAAUAGUAAUAAAUAAAUUAAGUGCACAAUAAAUUUUUAGCAUGCAACAUAAAGCAUAGGUCAUGCAUCCGAAUUAGGUUUUUGUACUCCAACCUUUUCAUGUAUAUGUUUAUUUCAAUGGUAAAAAACUCCUGCUAGUCAUAUGUAGGAUUUGUAGACGGCAUUUUUAUCACUAGUUUUAAAUCCGACAUAUAUAAACUCAAGACAGGUGAAUAUGAGUCUAUCGUCGACCAAAUUGCCCAAUUGAGAUAUAUACCUUUUUUGCCAUGUCAAGGAGGAUGGAUUCGAAACAACUGUACAGUAUGCCAUUUGCAAGUUCAGAAUAAGGCAUUCCAUCAGGAAUACUUGGCAUGAUAACUAUAAGCAUCCCUCCAGG